CAGUAGCCGCGGUAAUACGAGGGGUGCAAGCGUUAUUCGGAUUGAUUGGGUGUAAAGGGUGUGCAGACGGCUUAUUAAGUCACUUGCUAAAUUCUUCGGCCUAACUGAAGGUCUGCAAGUGAUACUGAUGAGCUAGAGGGUGGAAGAGAGAAGUGGAAUUCUCGGAGUAGCGGUAAAAUGCGUAGAUCUCGAGAGGAACACCAAUGGCGAAGGCAGCUUCUUGGUCCAUUCCUGACGUUCAUACACGAAAGCGUGGGGAGCAAACAGGAUUAGAUACCCCCGUAGUCCCUGUCUCUUAUAC
rnacentral:rRNA from 1 species